rnacentral:rRNA from 1 species
AUGGUAGGAUAGAGGCCUACCAUGGUGGUAACGGGUAACGGGGUGUUAGGGCACGACACCGGAGAGGGAGCCUGAGAAACGGCUACCACAUCCAAGGAUGGCAGCAGGCGCGCAAAUUACCCAAUCCCGACACGGGGAGGUAGUGACAAUAAAUAACAAUACGGGGUUCUUUAGGAUCUCGUAAUUGGAAUGAGUACAAUUUAAAUCUCUUAACGAGGAACAAUUGGAGGGCAAGUCUGGUGCCAGCAGCCGCGGUAAUUCCAGCUCCAAUAGCGUAUAUNAAAGUUGUUGCAGUUAAAAAGCUCGUAGUUGAAUUUCGGGGUCAGUAGGUCGGUCGUGCCACUGGUAUGAACUGGUUUUACUGAUUCCUCCCUCUUGAAGAACUGUAAUGCCAUUAAUUUGGUGUUGCAGGGAAUCAGGACUGUUACUUUGAAAAAAUUAGAGUGUUUAAAGCAGGCUUUAGCUUGAAUACAUUAGCAUGGAAUAAUGAAAUAGGACGUUUGAUCCUAUUUUGUUGGUUUCUAGGAUUGACGUAAUGAUUAAUAGGGAUAGUUGGGGGCAUUAGUAUUCAAUUGUCAGAGGUGAAAUUCUUGGAUUUAUUGAAGACUAACUACUGCGAAAGCAUUUGCCAAGGAUGUUUUCAUUAAUCAAGAACGAAAGUUAGGGGAUCGAAGACGAUCAGAUACCGUCGUAGUCUUAACCAUAAACUAUGCCGACUAGGGAUCGGAUGAUGUUAAUUUUUUAAUGACUCAUUCGGCGCCUUGCGGGAAACCAAAGUGUUUGGG